rnacentral:rRNA from 1 species
UACAGAGGUCUCAAGCGUUGUUCGGAUUCAUUGGGCGUAAAGGGUGCGUAGGUGGCGCCGUAAGUCGGGUGUGAAAUUUCGGAGCUUAACUCCGAAACUGCAUUCGAUACUGCGGUGCUUGAGGACUGGAGAGGAGACUGGAAUUCAUGGUGUAGCAGGUGAAAUGCGUAGAGAUCAUGAGGAAGACCAGUGGCGAAGGCGGGUCUCUGGACAGUUCCUGACACUGAGGCACGAAGGCCAGGGGAGCAAACGGG